rnacentral:rRNA from 1 species
AAUAGAUACCCGGGUAGUCCAUGCCGUAAACGUUGGGCACUAGGUGUGGGGCUCAUUCCACGAGUUCCGUGCCGCAGCAAACGCAUUAAGUGCCCCGCCUGGGGAGUACGGCCGCAAGGCUAAAACUCAAAGGAAUUGACGGGGGGCCCGCACAAGCGGCGGAGCAUGCGGAUUAAUUCGAUGCAACGCGAAGAACCUUACCAAGGCUUGACAUGCACGGGAAGCCACCAGAGAUGGUGGUCUCUUUGGACACUCGUGCACAGGUGGUGCAUGGUUGUCGUCAGCUCGUGUCGUGAGAUGUUGGGUUAAGUCCCGCAACGAGCGCAACCCUCGUCCCAUGUUGCCAGCGGGUUAUGCCGGGGACUCAUGGGAGACUGCCGGGGUCAACGUCGGAGGAAGGUGGGGAUGACGUCAAAUCAUCAUGCCCCUUAUGUCUUGGGCUUCACGCAUGCUACAAUGGCCGGUACAAAGGGCUGCGAUACCGUAAGGUGGAGCGAAUCCUAAAAAGCCGGUCUCAGUUCGGAUUGGGGUCUG